UACGAGGGGGGCAAGCGUUGUUCGGAAUUAUUGGGCGUAAAGAGCUCGUAGGCGGUCUGUCGCGUCUGCUGUGAAAACUCGGGGCUUAACCCCGGGCCUGCAGUGGGUACGGGCAGACUAGAGUGCGGUAGGGGAGACUGGAAUUCCUGGUGUAGCGGUGAAAUGCGCAGACUAUCAGGAGGAACACCGGUGGCGAAGGCGGGUCUCUGGGCCGAUAUUGACGCUGGAGGAGCGAAAGCGUGGGGAGCGA
rnacentral:rRNA from 1 species